GACGAACGCUGGCGGCGUGCCUAAUACAUGCAAGUCGAACGCAGUGGGGACGGGUGAGGAACAUGGGGGUAACCUCCCAUAAGAGGGGAUAACACUAGGAAACAGGUGCUAAACCGAUACAGAUGGAUGGACCCGCGUUGCAUUAGCUAGGUGGUGAGGUAACGGUUCACCAAGGCAACGAUGCAUAGCUGACAUGAGAGGGUGAUCGGCCACACGGGAACUGAGACACGGCCCAGACUCCUACGGGAGGCAGCAGUGGGGAAUCUUCGGCAAUGGACGAAAGUCUGACCGAGCCACGCCGCGUGUGUGAAGAAGGUUUUCGGAGUGUAAAGCUCUUUUGUUUGGGAAGCGGUAUCUAACCAGAAAGCCACGGCUAACUACGUGCCAGCAGCCGCGGUAAUUC
rnacentral:rRNA from 1 species